AGAGUUUGAUCCUGGCUCAGAGCGAACGCUGGCGGCAGGCCUAACACAUGCAAGUCGAACGGAUCCUUCGGGAUUAGUGGCGGACGGGUGAGUAACACGUGGGAACGUGCCCUUUGGUUCGGAACAACUCAGGGAAACUUGAGCUAAUACCGGAUGUGCCCUUCGGGGGAAAGAUUUAUCGCCAUUGGAGCGGCCCGCGUAGGAUUAGCUAGUUGGUGGGGUAAAGGCCCACCAAGGCGACGAUCCUUAGCUGGUCUGAGAGGAUGAUCAGCCACAUUGGGACUGAGACACGGCCCAAACUCCUACGGGAGGCAGCAGUGGGGAAUCUUGCGCAAUGGGCGAAAGCCUGACGCAGCCAUGCCGCGUGAAUGAUGAAGGUCUUAGGAUUGUAAAAUUCUUUCACCGGGGACGAUAAUGACGGUACCCGGAGAAGAAGCCCCGGCUAACUUCGUGCCAGCAGCCGCGGUAAUACGAAGGGGGCUAGCGUUGNUCGGAAUUACUGGGCGUAAAGGGAGCGUAGGCGGAUAGUUUAGUCAGAGGUGAAAGCCCAGGGCUCAACCUUGGAAUUGCCUUUGAUACUGGCUAUCUUGAGUACGGAAGAGGUAUGUGGAACUCCGAGUGUAGAGGUGAAAUUCGUAGAUAUUCGGAAGAACACCAGUGGCGAAGGCGACAUACUGGUCCGUUACUGACGCUGAGGCUCGAAAGCGUGGGGAGCAAACAGGAUUAGAUACCCUGGUAGUCCACGC
rnacentral:rRNA from 1 species